AACGAACGCUGGCGGCAUGCCUAACACAUGCAAGUCGAACGAGACCUUCGGGCCUAGUCGCGCACGGGUGCGUAACGCGUGGGAAUCUGCCCUUGGGUUCGGAAUAACAGCUGGAAACGACUGCUAAUACCGGAUGAUGACGUAAUUCCAAAGAUUUAUGGCCCAAGGAUGAGCCCGCGUAGGAUUAGCUAGUUGGUGAGGUAAAGGCUCACCAAGGCGACGAUCCUUAGCUGGUAUGGGAGGAUGAUCAGCCACACUGGGACUGAGACACGGACGGGACUCUUACGGAAGGCAGAAGUGGGGAAUAUUGAACAAUGGGCGAAAGCAUGAGGCAGUCAUGCCGCGUGGGUGAGGAAGGCCUGAGGGUUGGAAAGCUCUUUUAACCGGGAUGAUAAUGACAGUACCGGAAGAAUAAGCGACGGCUAACUCCGUG
rnacentral:rRNA from 1 species